CUACGGGAGGCUGCGGUGGGGAAUAUUGGGCAAUGGGCGCAAGCCUGACCCAGCAACGCCGCGUGAGGGAAGAAUGUCUUCGGAUUGUAAACCUCUGUCCUUGGGGACGAAAAAAAUGACGGUACCCAAGGAGGAAGCUCCGGCUAACUACGUGCCAGCAGCCGCGGUAAUACGUAGGGAGCAAGCGUUGUCCGGAAUUAUUGGGCGUAAAGGGUGCGUAGGCGGCGCUGUAAGUCAGAUGUGAAAUCCCCGGGCUUAACUCGGGAGUUGCAUUUGAAACUACAGUGCUUGAGUAAAGAAGGGGUAAGUGGAAGUCCUAGUGUAGCGGUGGAAUGCGUAGAUAUUAGGAGGAACACCAGUGGCGAAGGCGACUUACUGGUCUUUUACUGACGCUGAGGCACGAAAGCGUGGGGAGCAAACAGGAUUAGAUACCCCGGUAGUC
rnacentral:rRNA from 1 species